AAAUGACCUGGAUGAAGAAGUAGAAGGGUGGGUUAGUAAGUUUGCUGAUGAUACAAAGGUUGGCGGUGUUGUGGAUAGUCUGGAGGGUUGGCAGAGGUUACAAUGGAACAUCGAUAGGAUGCAGAACUGGGCUGAGAAGCGGCAGAUGGAGUUCAAUCCAGGCAAGUGUGAAGUGAUUCAUUUUGGUAGACCAAAUUGGAAGAAUUUAAUAUUAAUGGUAAGACCCUUGGCAGUGUGGAGAAUCAGAGAUCUUUGUGUCACGUUCAUAGGACACUCAAAGCUGCUACUCAGGUUGACAGCGUUGUUGAGAAGGCAAAUGGUGUGUUGGCAUUCAUCAAAUCUGGGAUUAAGUUCAAGAGCUGUGAGGUAAUGUUACAGAUAAAUAAGACCUUGGUCAGACCUCACUUGGAGCACUGUGUUCAGUUCUGGUCACCUCAUACAGGAAGGAUGUGGAAAUCAUAGAAAGGAUGCAGAUGAGAUUUACAGGGAUUGGGAAGCAUGCUUUGAUAGAUUGUGCACACGUGGCCUUUUCUCCUUAGAGUGAUGGAGGACGAGAGGUGACCUGAAAGAGGUGUAUAAGAUGAUGAGGGGCACUGAUUGUGUGGAUAGCCAAAGGCCUUUUCCUAGGGCUGAAAUGGCUAACAAAAGGGGCCAUAGUUUUAAGGUGCUUGGAGGGGACGUCAGGGGCAAGUUUUUCACACAGAGAUUGGUGGGUGUGUGGAAUGCACCACCGGUGGCAGAAGUGGAUACAAUAGGGUCUUUUAACAGCCUUUUAGACAGACACAUGGAUCUUAGAAAAAUAGAGAGCUAUGCGCUAGGGAAAUUCUAAGCCGUCUCUAGAGUAGGUUACGUGGUUGGCAUAACAUUGUGAGCCAAAAGGCCUAUAUUGUACUGUAAAUUUCUAUGUUCUAAAAUACAUUUUGAGGACUCCCCUCUGCCUCAUAUUUAAGAGAAAUAUUUAUCAUUUCUUUCUUCAACUACUUACAUUGUACUUCUACAUCUAUCAUUAUGUUGACCACUCACAUAGCUUGUCUAUUUUCUCAUGCAUGUCCUGAGGGGUGCACCCCUCACUACUUGAAUUCUUGCCAUCAGCAAGUGUAUAGUCAGACCACACAAGCCUGUCGUUGAUAUAGGGUAUGAUGUAGUCUAUGUUGAUUCCAGGAUUACUAAAGACUCUUGUAAUCAAAGGGGAAUUGUAAGUGGAUUUUGUGUCUGUUCGUUUCCCCUCCAUAAGUGCUGCCUGACCUAGAGUUCCGUUCCUCUAGCUUCUGGGACCUGCAGCCUCUCUGGUGUCAGCCACAUGAAACAUUCUCUCUCCACAGAAGCUGCUUGACCCGUUUAUUUAAGAUUUUCAGCAGCUGCAGAUUCUUUCCUUUAAACUCCCACUGAACUGUUGACUGGGUUUUCGGCCGGAAAUGCUGGUCCCUGUUUCCCUCUUCACCGAAGCCGCCUGACCUGCUGAAUGUUUGGGAUCUGGCGGGGUUUCCUCGCUUCCUGCGGUGCGCAGCGACGUUUGAACUCCAGUCACAUUCAUUCGAUUUGCAGCGGAGAGCGGCCAGUGGCCAGUGGCCAAGGGGAUCGCCUGAGGCGCUCGCAAGGCGAGCUCUGGCGGGCGGCGGGCUGCCGGCUGCCUGCGUACCACGCCACGGCUUGCUGCGGUCAUCGACGUCACCCUCGCCCUGUGCUCCUCUGAGCUGUACGUCACGUUCUCGGUUGCUUGGCGGCGCAAAGCAGGCCCGGAGCUGAAGCCAAGGCCUCGGGCGUGGGGAUAGGCGACCCUCCUACUGCGGGAGUCCCGAAACACUCCCUCCGUCCCUCCCUAUCCGCCCCGCCAUCGGUAAGAACUCAGCGCGCCCAUGGCCCCCAAGCAGCAGCUGGAGAAGGCGGCCUGGCAGUGGGCGGAGAGCGUCAGGCCGGAGGAGGUGCAGCAGGAACACGUCGAGCUGGCGUACCGCAUCCGCCUGGGAUCGUGCCGGAGGGACGCCCGCAGACGCAACUGUAGAGGGAAUCCCAACUGCUUAGUGGGUCUUGGUGAACAUGUAUGGCUGGGGGAAAUUGAUGAAAAUAGCUUCCACAACAUUGAUGACCCUAAUUCUGAAAGGAGAUGCAAGAAUGCUUUUGUAGGCCUAACUAAUCUUGGAGCUACUUGUUAUGUCAACACCCUGCUUCAGGUUUGGUUUCAUAACCUGGAAUUACGACAAGCAUUGUAUCUCUGCCAUAGUCCUCAAAAGGAGACAGUGUUGGGACAAGGGAUUGAGGAAGAUGCGGAUUUUGAACCACAGUCCAUCUGUGAGCACCUUCAGUACUUAUUUGCUUUGCUUCAGAGCAGCAAUAGAAGAUAUAUUGAUCCUUCUGGAUUUGUAAAAGCAUUGGGCCUGGACACAGGACAGCAGCAGGAUGCCCAAGAAUUUUCCAAGCUUUUUAUGUCCCUAUUAGAAGACACUUUAUCAAAACAGAACAAUCCAGAUGUACAGAAUAUUAUCCAGCAACAAUUCUGUGGACAGUAUGCAUAUGUCACAGUGUGUAAUCAGUGUGGCCGUGAGUCUAAGCUGUUAUCCCGUUUUUAUGAACUGGAGUUAAAUAUCCAAGGACAUAAGCAGCUGACAGAUUGCAUUGAUGAGUUUCUGAAGGAAGAAAAGUUGGAGGGGGACAAUAGGUAUUUUUGUGAUGAAUGUCAAGAUAAGCAGAAUGCCACCAGAAAAAUUAAACUUCUCAGCCUCCCAAGAACCCUCAAUUUGCAGCUUUUGAGGUUUGUCUUUGACAGGCAAACUGGUCAUAAGAAAAAACUAAACUCCUACAUCAGUUUUCCUGAAGUUUUAGACUUAACUACAUAUCUUGAAAGGAAAGAUAUUGGCUGUGUUUAUGAACUAAGUGCAGUGCUGAUCCACAGAGGGGUGAGUGCAUAUUCUGGCCAUUACAUUGCACACGUACGAGAUGACAGGACUGGCGACUGGUAUAAAUUUAAUGAUGAGGAGAUUGAGAAAAUGGAAGGAAAGAAGCUGCAGCUGGGAAUAGAGGAAGAUCUUGCAGAGCCUUCGAAAUCACAGGCACGCAAACCUAAAUGUGUUAAAGGUGUCCACUGUUCAAGAAAUGCUUACAUGUUGGUGUACAGACGGAAAGUGGAAGUAUGCAAUGAAAAGGAAAUAAGUGUUCAACUCCCACCACAUCUACAGAAAAUGGUUGAACGUGACAACAAAAAAUUUGAAGAAUGGUGCAUGGAAAUGGCUGAGAUGAGGAAGCAGAGUGUGGACAAAGGCAAAGCCAAGCACGAGGAAGUGCAAGAACUCUUUAACAUGUUAGCAGCAAAAGAAGGAGAACACUAUGAAUUUCUACCAGUAGACUGGCUACGAAAAUGGCUGGAUGACUCUGCAGCAACAAAGCCAAUUGAUAAUUCUCAGCAGUUAUGUGCACAUAAUAGACUAACUCCUGAUAAAAUUUGUGAUGUUAAAAGGAUUUCUCAGAAAGCAGCUGACAUCUUCUAUGCCAGAUAUGGAGGUGGCCCCAGGUUAGAUGCUUCUGCUUUAUGUAGAGAUUGUGUCAUGGAGAAAUGUAGGAUACUUAGAUUAAAGAAUCAAUUAAAUGAAGAUUACAAGAUUAUCUCCAACCUAACUCGAAUCACAUUACAAAGCCAUGAAGGAUACUGGGUGGGGAAAACUUCACUUCGGAGCUGGCGCCAACUAGCACUCGAUCAACUGGAUGGAAAAGAAAAUGAUUCCAGUCGCACUAAUGGGAAAAGCAAUGGUGAAGGUCCAAACAAUUUGCAUGUCAAAGGAGAUGAUGAAGUACCAGGAGAGAAAGAAGAAAGCGAGGACUUGAAUUUCAAUGAAGACCUUGUCUGUCCACAUGGUGACUUAUGCACAUCUGAAAGUGAAAGAAGACUUGUCUCUGAUGAAACAUGGCAUAGACUAAAGGCUUAUUUCCCCAAAUCACCAGAAUUCAUACAUUAUCACUCACCUUGUGUCCAGUGUCAGGUGUUAGAAAAAGAAGGUGAGGAGAAUGAGACCCUAAGCAAAAUGAUGGCCAAUGAACAGAAAUCAGCACUUCUGUGUCUUUUUCAAGAUAAAAAUAGACCACUCAUUAUCAAAUGGCCUGAGGAGACUGAUGUUCUUUAUGUUGUUUCCCAGUUUUUUGUUGAAGAAUGGAAGAAGUUUAUCAGCCUCCUGUAGAAAUGGCGAUUUGGAAUGAGUUACAGGAAGGACACAUGACAAAUGAGUACAUGUAAUAUACUUCCAGGACGCCUCAGAUGGUGACUCGUGUGGCGGCAGAACUCUCAAUGGAUGCAAUUAAAUAUUCUUGUUUCAGCCUGAUACAGCUGAAAACCACAACUGCUUCCAAAGUCAGUACAGUUAGUACAAUGUGUUUAUGCGAUUAAAUAAACUAUCGCUGCUUAAAUCUGAUGAAACAAAGCUGAUUGUGGACAUUCUCCUCUGGAAUUGUGGGGUGGGGGUUGGGUACAGCACAGGAUUGAAAGAAGCUGCAAAGGAUCAUAAAUUUAGUCGGCUCCAUUUUCAGUACAAACCUACAAAGUACUCAGGACAUCUUCAAGGAGUGGUGUCUCAGAAAGGCAGCGUCCAUUAUUAAAGACUCCCAGCACCCAGGGCAUGCUUAUUGUUACCAUCAGGUAGGAGGUAUAGAAGCCUGAAGGCACACACUCUGAUUCAGGAACAGCUUCUUCCCCUCUGCCAUCUGAUUCCUAAAUGGAACCAUUGGACACUACCUGACUUUUUUAAUAUAUAGUAUUUCUGGUUUUUUUGUAAAAUUUUUAAUCUAUUCAAUAUACAUAUACUGCAAUUUAUUUUUUUAUUUUUACCUUUUUUCCUUCUAUAUUAUGUAUUAAAUUGAACUGGUACUGCUGUUAAUAAAGUUCACAUAAUAAACCUGAUUCUGUCUCUGAUUCUAAAAGCAAUUAUGAUAUGCAUUGUUUGUGUUGAUUGUGUUAAAUCGGGCAUGAUAAAUAAUUUACUGUUAUGAAAAGUUAACCCUUGUGUGCAGGUUAGGAAGCUAAUCAAGAUUUAAAUGUUGUUACUGGGUACCGUAAUUUAAACCUUUUGAAAAUUUGAAGGAAUGGUGAUGGAAAUUGUGCUGGCAACUUGUCACUGUUGGUGAGAGCUGAACAUAAAUAGUUUCAGCAUUCUCAGUAUUGGGUAUAAUUAAGUUACCUCAGCUGGGUUCACACAGUACCUUGAAUAGGACAGCCGAGCAUCAAUGGAGAUACUGUAUAGAUGGAAGGGAUAUUAUUACAAAGGUCCAUCGGUAUACUCUAAGUCAGAGUGAUACCUUCAAUUAACAGACAUAAGAUACAGAGGAGAAACUGAUCUUGUAAGGCUGUAAUCCGAGCAGAGACAUUGAAGCAAUUUUCCAUUUUAAUAUUUGUAUGCAAAGUUGCCUUUCAGUGUACAUGUAUUGCAUUGCUGGAAGUCCCUCCUCUGACUACUUUCAUUUGAUUCUGUUUGCUGAAGGAAGCCAACGAAAUGCAGUCCUGUAUCGUCUGUAGGCAACAAUGCUCUUCUCUGUCCGCAUGGAGGCCUCAUGUUUACAGCAGAGUCAAUGACCAAAGAGGAUUCAAAACACUCUGAUAUGGCCAAGUGAAUGGGACAUCAUCCACAAAU